AAGGAGAAAUGCUGCUUAGAGGGCCUCCUGUCAAGAACAACCUGCAAAAAAGCACAAGAAGACUAAACUCUUUGACAAUGACACAUUUUGCCAUAGCUCCAGUUCAUGUUUGAAAACAAUCAAUGUAUUGUGUCUACUCAUGGUGGUAUGAGACAAGAGUGAGUCCAUCAACAAGGACUUCUGGUUUUUUGGACCUUUCCUCUACCUAACUCUUA
rnacentral:lncRNA from 1 species